CACCAGCUAAACGAACUGGGUUGAUGGAUGGAUGAAUAAAUGAAUAAAAAGUGCAAGAACUACAGAAAUCUAAUUUGGAAGCAUAAUUGUGGUUUGCAAUGUUGAUAGUUAACAAAAUUAGUGGUUCUUAUAUUGCAGUGUACAUUUUAAGUCACAUAUAGUAUCAAAAUGCCAUUAAGUUCCUUAGAAAAUCUAAAUUUCUUCACUUAUAAAUAAGUGAGUGAGUCAUUACAUGUAAAUUAGUUUUAAGAAUUCAAUUACUAAGGUGUAUAUUUCAAUUAAUAGGUUUUACCACAUGGUGGUGUCAGUUCACCAUGAUAUACACUGGCCAUCCACAGAGUCUGAAAGGAUGAUUCUGUAUCAAACCGAUUGUUGAUGUGAUUGAAACAUAAAUUAAUUGUACUUCAGCACCAACAGCCUGAACUAUUACUACAUAUUACCUUUCAUCAAAAUAUUUGUGCAUUUGAGUCUUCCCUCGGCCCUUUUGUGGAUACAUGUGCAGCCCUGGACAGUUCAAGCAAUUUUCGCCCACACAUUCAAUUUAGUAGUUCAGUCAAUUUAUGUUAUGUGUAGGAAGUUAUUACUAUGGAAACCGCUCCUUACUUUACAACCUGCGUCAGAGAAAUCACUGGAAAGUGUUGCAUUUAACAACCUGUUAAUAGUUUUUGCUUUUUUUUUUAAACUCUCAGACAGUUGCAUAAGAUAUCAGAUUCACAAAGAGCACUAGCAGAAAAUUGACUUAAUUCUAACAUGGUAUUCAUCCAUUUGAUGACACUAAAGACUGAUCUGUUAAUAACACAUUUGAAUAAAGAUAAUUAAUGUAAACAUUG